rnacentral:rRNA from 1 species
UUGAACGCUGGCGGCAGGCCUAACCCAUGCAAGUCGAGCGGAUGAAGGGAGCUUGCUCCUGGAUUCAGCGGCGGACGGGUGAGUAAUGCCUAGGAAUCUGCCUGUUAGUGGGGGAUAACGUCCGGAAACGGGCGCUAAUACCGCAUACGUCCUGAGGGAGAAAGUGGGGGAUCUUCGGACCUCACGCUAUCAGAUGAGCCUAGGUCGGAUUAGCUAGUUGGUGGGGUAAAGGCCUACCAAGGCGACGAUCCGUAACUGGUCUGAGAGGAUGAUCAGUCACACUGGAACUGAGACACGGUCCAGACUCCUACGGGAGGCAGCAGUGGGGAAUAUUGGACAAUGGGCGAAAGCCUGAUCCAGCCAUGCCGCGUGUGUGAAGAAGGUCUUCGGAUUGUAAAGCACUUUAAGUUGGGAGGAAGGGCAGUAAGUUAAUACCUUGCUGUUUUGACGUUACCAACAGAAUAAGCACCGGCUAACUUCGUG